GCCAAAGCAUGCCGUGUUUGACAUCGUGAAGCCGGCAGAUUCCAGAACGUCUGAUUUUAAGUGAGGUUUGUCCUCCAGCUGUUCACUAGGAUCCGGAGGAUGCCACAGGAGUCGGGGUCAGAUGGCCGAAACCCACAAGACAUCUGGGAGACUGCUGAAGGACUCUUGUGCUCGACCGAGAGAGACUCCAGCGGAGAACAGCACGAGCCACAGCAGCACGGCCAUCUUUAACCCGUCUGAACUUCAACAACAACAACAGCAAAUGUCUGCUUACCCAGAAACCAGAUGAGGAUGAAGACGAGCAGAGCGGGAAGGAUGCUGGCAAACAUCAUCCAGAUGGGGAACUGACCAUCAGAGCCCAGAGGAUUGACUAUCCAACCUCUCUUUUCAGGACUGGUCACUGAAAAACCUCGGGGUACGC